rnacentral:siRNA from 1 species
ACUUCUGAAACAACUCUUUGCCC